GAAAUACCACCCUUGUAGUGUUGAUGUUCUAACGUCGACCCCUUAUCGGGGUUGCGGACAGUGCCUGGUGGGUAGUUUGACUGGGGCGGUCUCCUCCCAAAGAGUAACGGAGGAGCACGAAGGUGGGCUAAUCACGGUUGGACAUCGUGAGGUUAGUGCAAUGGCAUAAGCCCGCUUGACUGCGAGAAUGACAAUUCGAGCAGGUGCGAAAGCAGGUCAUAGUGAUCCGGUGGUUCUGAAUGGAAGGGCCAUCGCUCAACGGAUAAAAGGUACUCCGGGGAUAACAGGCUGAUACCGCCCAAGAGUUCAUAUCGACGGCGGUGUUUGGCACCUCGAUGUCGGCUCAUCACAUCCUGGGGCUGAAGUCGGUCCCAAGGGUAUGGCUGUUCGCCAUUUAAAGUGGUACGCGAGCUGGGUUUAGAACGUCGUGAGACAGUUCGGUCCCUAUCUGCCGUGGGCGUUGGAAGAUUGAAGGGGGCUGCUCCUAGUACGAGAGGACCGGAGUGGACGAACCUCUGGUGUUCGGGUUGUGUCGCCAGACGCAUUGCCCGGUAGCUAAGUUCGGAAUCGAUAACCGCUGAAAGCAUCUAAGCGGGAAGCGAGCCCUGAGAUGAGUCUUCCCUGAUACUUUAAGUAUCCUAAAGGGUUGUCGGAGACUACGACGUUGAUAGGUCAGGUGUGUAAGUGCUGUGAGGCAUUGAGCUAACUGAUACUAAUUGCCCGUGAGGCUUAACCAU
rnacentral:rRNA from 1 species